rnacentral:rRNA from 1 species
AGAGUUUGAUCCUGGCUCAGGAUGAACGCUAGCGACAGGCUUAACACAUGCAAGUCGAGGGGCAGCAUGAUUUGUAGCAAUACAGAUUGAUGGCGACCGGCGCACGGGUGAGUAACGCGUAUGCAACUUACCUAUCAGAGGGGGAUAGCCCGGCGAAAGUCGGAUUAAUACCCCAUAAAACAGGGGUCCCGCAUGGGAAUAUUUGUUAAAGAUUCAUCGCUGAUAGAUAGGCAUGCGUUCCAUUAGGCAGUUGGCGGGGUAACGGCCCACCAAACCGACGAUGGAUAGGGGUUCUGAGAGGAAGGUCCCCCACAUUGGUACUGAGACACGGACCAAACUCCUACGGGAGGCAGCAGUGAGGAAUAUUGGUCAAUGGCCGAGAGGCUGAACCAGCCAAGUCGCGUGAAGGAAGAAGGAUCUAUGGUUUGUAAACUUCUUUUAUAGGGGAAUAAAGUGGAGGACGUGCCCUUUUUUGUAUGUACCCUAUGAAUAAGCAUCGGCUAACUCCGUGCCAGCAGCCGCGGUAAUACGGAGGAUGCGAGCGUUAUCCGGAUUUAUUGGGUUUAAAGGGUGCGUAGGUGGUGAUUUAAGUCAGCGGUGAAAGUUUGUGGCUCAACCAUAAAAUUGCCGUUGAAACUGGGUUACUUGAGUGUGUUUGAGGUAGGCGGAAUGCGUGGUGUAGCGGUGAAAUGCAUAGAUAUCACGCAGAACUCCGAUUGCGAAGGCAGCUUACUAAACCAUAACUGACACUGAAGCACGAAAGCGUGGGGAUCAAACAGGAUUAGAUACCCUGGUAGUCCACGCAGUAAACGAUGAUUACUAGGAGUUUGCGAUACAAUGUAAGCUCUACAGCGAAAGCGUUAAGUAAUCCACCUGGGGAGUACGCCGGCAACGGUGAAACUCAAAGGACAUUGACGGAAGGGCGA